rnacentral:misc_RNA from 1 species
AAUGGCCGCUCUUACUCCCCUGACCCAAAUCCUAGCCCUAACAGCCACUUCCAUUCCCCUUCUUCUUCUUCCUCCUCCACUCCUUCUAGAUCUCGUUUCUUGCCUUCUUCAUUCGCUCACAACGCUAGAAUCGCCAUCGCUCUCGUCCCUUGCGCUGCCUUCCUUCUCGACCUUGGUGGCGCCCCCGUGGUGGCUACCCUAACGCUUGGCCUCAUGGUCGCUUACAUCCUCGAUUCCCUCAGCCUCAAAUCUGGAGCAUUCUUUGGAGUCUGGCUUUCUCUAAUAGCAGCUCAGAUUUCCUUCUUCUUCAGCUCCUCCCUCAUCACCACUUUCUAUUCUGUUCCUCUCGGCCUCCUGGCCGCAUUUCUUUGCGCCUUCGUUAAUUUCCUAAUUGGGGUAUGGGCCUCCCUUCAGUUCAAGUGGAUCCAACUCGAGAAUCCUACUAUCGUUCUCGCUCUCGAGCGCCUUUUGUUCGCCUGCGUCCCUUUCACUUCUUCCGCCCUGUUCACCUGGGCCACCAUCUCGGCAGUUGGGAUGAAUAACGCUUCUUACUAUCUCAUGGCCUUCAAUUG